rnacentral:rRNA from 1 species
CAGCAGUCGCCGCGGUAAUACGUAGGGUGCAAGCGUUAAUCGGAAUUACUGGGCGUAAAGCGUGCGCAGGCGGUUCGCUAAGACAGAUGUGAAAUCCCCGGGCUCAACCUGGGAACUGCAUUUGUGACUGGCAAGCUAGAGUCUGGCAGAGGGGGGUGGAAUUCCGCGUGUAGCAGUGAAAUGCGUGGAUAUGCGGAGGAACACCGAUGGCGAAGGCAGCCCCCUGGGCCAACACUGACGCUCAUGCACGAAAGCGUGGGGAGCAAAUGGGAUUAGAUACCCCCGUAGUCCCUGUCUCUUAUAC